UGAGCAAUCUGCCCUUCUCUUCGGAAUAAGCGUUGGAAACGACGUCUAAUGCCGAAUACGACCUCCUUUCGCAUGAUCGGAGGUGGAAAGCUCCGGCGGAGAAGGAUGAGCUCGCGGCCUAUCAGCUAGUUGGUGUGGGUAAUGGCCCACCAAGGCGACGACGGGUAGCCGGCCUGAGAGGGUGACCGGCCACACUGGGACUGAGACACGGCCCAGACUCCCGUACGGGGAGGNAGCG
rnacentral:rRNA from 1 species